rnacentral:rRNA from 2 species
CGACUAAGCGUACACGGUGGAUGCCCUGGCAGUCAGAGGCGAUGAAGGACGUGCUAAUCUGCGAAAAGCGUCGGUAAGGUGAUAUGAACCGUUACAGCCGGCGAUGUCCGAAUGGGGAAACCCAGUGCAAUUCGUUGCACUAUCGUUAACUGAAUACAUAGGUUAACGAGGCGAACCGGGGGAACUGAAACAUCUAAGUACCCCGAGGAAAAGAAAUCAACCGA